rfam:Schistosoma haematobium scaffold572_14, whole genome shotgun sequence.
AUUCUACUGACGAGUCCCAAACAGGACGAGAUGGAUUUUAUAGAAU